rnacentral:rRNA from 1 species
UGGUGGAGUGAUUUGUCUGGUUAAUUCCGUUAACGAACGAGACCUCGACCUGCUAAAUAGUUCAACGAAUUCUUCUGGAUUCGUCUGUGACUUCUUAGAGGGACUAUCGGUGGGUAGCCGAUGGAAGUUCGAGGCAAUAACA